GCACAACGCGAAGAACCUUACCUAGGCUUGCCAUGCAAUUGGACCGGGGUGGAAGCUCCCUUUGUAGCAAUACACAGUUGCACAGGUGCUGCAUGGCUGUCGUCAGCUCGUGUCGUGAGAUGUUGGGUUAAGUCCUGCAACGAGCGCAACCCCUAUUGAUUGUUACUCUGCUUUGCAGAGCUCUCUAUCAAAACUGCCUCGCGAAAACGGGGAGGAAGGCGGGGAUGACGUCAAGUCAGCAUGGCCCUUACGCCUAGGGCUGCACACGUACUACAAUGCUCAGUACAAUUUGAACCCGGUCCCGCAAGGGUUCGGAAAUCAUGAAAACUGAUCUCAGUUCGGAUUGCGGGCUGCAACUCGCCCGCAUGAAGCUGGAAUCGCUAGUAAUGGCGCAUCAGCUACGGCGCCGUGAAUACGUUCCCCGGGGUCUUGUACACACCGAGUCGUGGGGGGGAGGGCAAGGGGCACACAGGGGGGGAUA
rnacentral:rRNA from 1 species